AAGAAACCAACAGGGAUUGCCUCAGUAACGGCGAGUGAAGCGGCAAAAGUUCAAAUUGUAAUUCCUUCGGGAGUCUAAUUUGUAGGUUGGGAGACCCCGCGGUUAGUGGCACCAAGUCCCUUGGAACAGGGCGCCUUAGAGGGUGAGAGCCCCGUAGGUACCACAACACUUUCUUGUGUCUCCUUUCCAAAGAGUCGAGUGUUUGGGAAUGCAGAUCAAAAUGGGUGGUAAAUUCCAUGUAAAGGUAAAUACCGGCGAGAGUCCGAUAGCGAACAAGUACAAAGAUGGAAAGAUGAAAAGCACUUUGAAAAGAGAAUGAAACAGUACGUGAAAUUGUUGAAAGGGAAGGGGUUGCAAGCAGACACGGCGUUCGUGCCGGGCCAGCAUCGGUUGCUAGGGGUGGAUAAGGAACAAGGAAUGUAGCUCCUCGGAGUAUUAUAGCCUUGCUCGAUACAUCCACUGGCUGAUAGGAGGCGUGCG
rnacentral:rRNA from 1 species